GACGAACGCUGGCGGCGUUCUUAACACAUGCAAGUCGAACGUAAAUGCCCUGCUUUUUUGGGGUGCUCGAGUGGCUAACGGGUGAUUAACACGUGAGUAACCUGCCCUUGACUUUGGGAUAACUUCAGGUCACUGUGGCUAAUACCUGAUAGGAGCUCCUGCUGCAUGGUUGGGGUUGGAAAGUUUCGGCGGUUGGGGAUGGACUCGCGUCUUAUCAGCUCGUUGGUGGGGUAGUGGCUUACCAAGGCUUUGACCGGUAGCCGGCCUGAGAGGGUGACCGGCGACAGUGGGACUGAGAUACGGCGCAGACUCCGACGGGAGGCAGGAGUGGGGAAGAUUGCAAAAGGGGGGGGAGCCUGAUGCAGGAACGAGGCGUGGGGGAUGACGGGCUUCGGGUUGUAAACCGCUGUCGCCUGAGACGAAGCGUGAGUGACGGUAAUGGGUAAAGAAGCACCGGCUAACUACGUG
rnacentral:rRNA from 1 species